GUUCUUGCUUCGGCAGCGCACAUGCUAAAAAUUGGAAUGAUACAGGGAAGAUUAGGAUGGCCCUGUGCAAGGAUGACGUGUAAAUUUGUGAAGUGUUCCAUAUUUUU
ensembl:snRNA U6 U6 spliceosomal RNA